GUGAUGUUGAUGAUGAUUGAUGAUAAUAGAAAUAAAAAUAAUAAUAGUAGCUCCCCUUUCUUGACUCCUUUUUAUAAGCAAGAUGUUCACUAGCAUAAUCUAUGCAUUAUAUAACUCAUAACCAAAAGUUAUAAGAGUGGGCUAUUUGAAUGAGUCCCCACAAACUCUGUGAUGCUAGCUAACUUUAUGACCAGAUUGCCAUCAUUACCACCAUAGCAACUCCAGUCUCUCUUCUCUCUUUCCCCAUUGCAGUCAAUCAACCCAUCGAACCCUGGUGGGCCAAGGGACCUACAACCUCCAGAACUGAAGCAAACUGGCUCAGGAGCCUUCCUUGGAAACGCUUCACGCUGUGGUGACCCUGGAAGCAUGCAGAGACUGCAACCGAGGAAAGUGAACAGAUACCGAGACUGGGCAAAUGAAUGGGUGGAUGAACUAACCAACACCGAAGGACAUGUCAGGGAUAACUAAGUAUGUGACGUAUUAUAAUGUAUUCAUAAGAGGCAUACUGGAAGAAUAGAGGGAGAACAAGUUAGUUUCAAAAUAAUAAAAUGUAGCUAAUAUUUUUUUUCCCCCAAUCUCCUGACUUGAUCAAGCUGCUUUUAAAGGCAUUCACUUUCUAUGGAAUUAAAAUGAAAUUUUAUGGCAGAAGCUCAUUGCCA
rnacentral:lncRNA from 1 species